UGCAAAUCCUUAUCAGGCAGU
rnacentral:siRNA from 1 species